rnacentral:rRNA from 1 species
AUGAUUCCCCUAGUAACGGCGAGUGAAGAGGGAAAAGCUCAAGUUUGGAAGCUUCGUGGCAUAGCUACGACGCAUUGUAAACUGAAGUUUUUGUGGCAACUGGACAACCGGGUUAAUAAGUCCCUUGGAAUGGGGCAACAUGGAGGGUGAUAUUCCCGUCUUUGGCUUGAGUUUGUGCAGUUAUUACCAUGGAAACGACGAGUCAGGUUGUUUGGGAAUGCAGCCUAAAAUGGGAGGUAAAUCUCUCCUAAAGCUAAAUAUUGGUGCAAGACCGAUAGCGAACAAGUACCGUGAGGGAAAGAUGAAAAGGACUUUGAAAAGAGGGUCAAAAAGUACGUGAAAUUGUUGAAAGGGAACCGUAUAAAAGUAGACCGGCAUUGUGAUGAUCAAUGGGAGCUUCGGUUUUCAUGCACUCAUCACGAUUGCCAGCCAGCAGCAGUUUUUUUCAAAGGAAGAAAACCGGGGGAAUGUAGCCUUGGCCUUCGGGCGGAGGUGUUAUAGCCCUCGGUAAAAAACUUUGGGGGAGACUGAGGCUUGCAGUGGGUUUCUGGGAAAGCUAGUUGCUUGCGAUGUUGUUGUAAAGUUUCUUUCGGGUGCUUUGCAGCAGCGUUGUAACUCUUCUGGUUCUUCACCCUCUCACUUUGGUUGCUGGCGUA